rnacentral:rRNA from 1 species
AGAAGAUGCUUCGGGUGUGGUUCCGGUCUAAGUUCCUUGGAACAGGACGUCAUAGAGGGUGAGAAUCCCGUAUGUGACUGGAUACCUAUGCUCAUGUGAAGCUCUUUCGACGAGUCGAGUUGUUUGGGAAUGCAGCUCAAAAUGGGUGGUAUAUUUCAUCUAAAGCUAAAUAUUGGCCAGAGACCGAUAGCGCACAAGUAGAGUGAUCGAAAGAUGAAAAGCACUUUGGAAAGAGAGUUAAACAGUACGUGAAAUUGUUGAAAGGGAAGCGCUUGCAAUCAGACUUGCACUUGGUGUUCAUCGGGGUUUCUACCCCGUGUACUUCAUCAAGUUCAGGCCAGCAUCAGUUUGGGUGGUUAGAUAAAGGCUUAGAGAAUGUGGCCCUCUUCGGGGGGUGUUAUAGCUCUAGGUGCAAUGUAGCCUACCUGGACUGAGGACCGCGCUUCGGCUAGGAUGCUGGCGUAAUGGUUGUAAGCGACCCGUCUUGAAACACGGACCAAGGAGUGUACCUAAUAUGCGAGUGUUUGGGUGUUAAACCCAUACGCGUAAUGAAAGUGAACGGAGGUGAGAGCCCUU